GAAAAAGCGUAUCCUCGUUGCUGGCCCUUUGACUUCUUCAACUUUGGCAGUUUUGAGGCUUGUUGCAUUACACACGUUGUGUCCGAAAAUGAAACGUUGUGGUCCUCCGUCAGCUGCGAUUGAAUUGCGAGUUUGGUGGUUAUAUAGAGGUCCUCUAAGUCAGCGCGCCCUCCAUCCUCGGCAUCCAACCUUUCGAUGUCUGUCUGAAUCGUCAGGAUUUGCUUGAAAUAAGAUUCCAGGAUACCCAGGCGGCACUUGUAUUCAGCAGGUGAAAGUGCUUUUCCACCUGAUCGCAAACUACCGUCGAUGAUAUUUUUGAUUCGAGUGAUGUUUUUCUUGACAUUUGCACGUAUAGUGGUUACUUACGUUUGGGUGGACGACGGAAGGCAAACCAGUAGCGGCGGCGUAAAGGUGGUGAAACAGGAGUCCAGAAGAGACCAGUGGAGACCAGAAAACUAGUGCUGCUGGGCAAUGGUUAUGGCAAUUAGGUUCCAGUGCUCAACGAGGAUGAUAAAGUCCAGCGGUGUAGUCCAAUGGUGGAGUCCCGUGCUGACC